UUGCAUCCACUGAUAGACCUGAAGCAAGCUGCAUUGGCUUCUGGGUUUGCAUAGCGAUGCUAAACUCAUUCUUCCUCAAGCUUUCUGACUGCUUUGUUCAAUAUCAGAACAGAUUGAAUUGAGGAAUACAUGC
rnacentral:snoRNA from 1 species